UACGUAGGGAGCAAGCGUUGUCCGGAAUCAUUGGGCGUAAAGCGCGCGUAGGCGGCCCUGUAAGUCCGUUGUGAAAGUCAAAGGCUCAACCUUUGAAAGCCGAUGGAUACUGCAGGGCUAGAGUCCGGAAGAGGCGAGUGGAAUUCCUGGUGUAAGGCGGUGAAUGCGCAGAUAUCAGGAGGAACACCAGUAGCGAAGGCGGCUC
rnacentral:rRNA from 1 species